GACAAAAGUGGUAAGUAGUGUCCCUCAGAGUUCUGUUUUGGGACCACUUCUAUUUAACAUAUUUAUAAAUGAUCUUGAAAUAGGCAUUGAAAGCCAUGUAUCAGUGUUUGCAGAUGACACAAAACUUUGUAAAGUAAUAAAAUGUGAACAGGAUAUUGCCUUGCUGCAGAGGGAUUUGGAUAGAUUGGGGGACUGGGCACUAAAAUGGCAGAUUAAAUUUAACGUAGAGAUAUGCAAAGUUAUGCACUUCGGGGUUAAGAAUGCACAAGCAACUUACACACUAAAUGGUAGUAAAUUAGGGAUAACCACACACGAGAAGGAUUUGGGAAUUGUUAUAGAUAACAAAUUAGGCAGCAAUAUGCAAUGUCAAUCUGCAGUUGCUAAGGCCAGUAAGGUUUUGUCAUGUAUAAAUAGGGGCAUAAAUU